rnacentral:rRNA from 1 species
UACAGAGGGUGCAAACGUUGCUCGGAGUUACUGGGCGUAAAGCGCGUGUAGGCGGUGCCGCACGUCCGGUGUGAAAGCCCAGGGCUCAACCCUGGAAGUGCACUAGAUACGACGGCGCUGGAGUCCUGAAGAGGAGGGCGGAAUUCCCGGUGUAGAGGUGAAAUUCGUAGAUAUCGGGAGGAACACCAGUGGCGAAGGCGGCUCUCUGGACAGGUACUGACGCUGAGACGCGAAAGCGUGGGUAGCAAACAGGA